GAUGAACGCUGGCGGCGUGCCUAAUACAUGCAAGUCGAGCGAACAGACGAGGAGCUUGCUCCUCUGACGUUAGCGGCGGACGGGUGAGUAACACGUGGAUAACCUACCUAUAAGACUGGGAUAACUUCGGGAAACCGGAGCUAAUACCGGAUAAUAUAUUGAACCGCAUGGUUCAAUAGUGAAAGACGGUUUUGCUGUCACUUAUAGAUGGAUCCGCGCCGCAUUAGCUAGUUGGUAAGGUAACGGCUUACCAAGGCGACGAUGCGUAGCCGACCUGAGAGGGUGAUCGGCCACACUGGAACUGAGACACGGUCCAGACACCUACGGGAGGCAGCAGUAGAGAAUCUUCCGCAAUGGGCGAAAGCCUGACGGAGCAACGCCGCGUGAGUGAUGAAGGUCUUCGGAUCGUAAAACUCUGUUAUUAGGGAAGAACAAAUGUGUAAGUAACUAUGCACGUCUUGACGGUACCUAAUCAGAAAACCACGGCUAACUACGUG
rnacentral:rRNA from 1 species